UACGUAGGGGGCAAGCGUUGUCCGGAAUCAUUGGGCGUAAAGGGCGCGUAGGCGGAUAGCUAAGUCUGAUGUGAAAACUGGGGGCUCAACCCCGAGCCUGCAUCGGAAACUGGGUAUCUUGAGGACAGGAGAGGAAAGUGGAAUUCCACGUGUAGCGGUGAAAUGCGUAGAGAUGUGGAGGAACACCAGUGGCGAAGGCGACUUUCUGGACUGUAACUGACGCUGAGGCGCGAAAGCGUGGGGAG
rnacentral:rRNA from 1 species